CAAUAGCGUAUAUUUAAGUUGCUGCAGUUAAAAAGCUCGUAGUUGGAUUUCGGGUGGGAAUGGCCGGUCCGCCGUUUCGGUGUGCACUUGCUACGCCCACCUUGCUGCCGGGGACGUGCUCUUGAGUUCACGCUCGGGACACGGAGUCGGCGAGGUUACUUUGAGUAAAUUAGAGUGUUCAAAGCAGGCCUACGCUCUGAAUACAUUAGCAUGGAAUAACACGAUAGGACUCUGGCCUAUCUUGUUGGUCUGUAGGACCGGAGUAAUGAUUAAGAAGGACAGUCGGGGGCAUUCGUAUUUCAUUGUCAGAGGUGAAACUCUUGGAUUUAUGAAAGACGAACUACUGCGAAAGCAUUUGCCAAGGAUGUUUUCAUUAA
rnacentral:rRNA from 1 species